GCGGGUAGAGCUGUGGGGAAGAUUUUAAUUAAUAUUUCCUAGUGUUGCCCUAUAGAUUCCAUUAGGUGAGGUGUAGAGGGGAGGACUCUUAUUUUGACAGUCCCUGAUGGGUAGAGCAGGACCUCAUGCUGCGUAUAGUCUCACGGAACCAUAGAUUCCUCUAGGUAGAGGGGAGGACUUUUAUUUUGAUAGCUACUGAUUGGCAGAACAGGAUUCUGCGCUGCUUAUAGUCUCGCGGGACCAGCACGAAGUAGCGUUUGGUCUCGUGGCGGCAGGUACAAGCUCCGGUCGGAAAGCUCCAGCUCGUGGGAAAGCUGCUUUAAAAGAACUCUGGGGGAGAUAGUUUUAUUGUGCUUACUGACUGGAAAGGAUUAAAGGAACACCUGGAGGGUGUAUCAAGGGGCACUGUGUGCGUGAGAGGAAUCCAUAGUUGAAGCAGUGAAUGUGGGAGCUCCAGGAAUCAGCUGGGGGUGUGUAGCUGCUGAGUGGUGGGUAAAGUUUGCUUUACUGAAUUACUGUAGGUGGAAGAGGUAGCUAACUGUGUGUUUAUGCUUUUAUAUAGCGUUUGUAUUGAUGCUGAAGGUGCUGUGAAGGCGAUUGAGUUCUGGCUUCCGCAUUUACGACUGAUUGGUAUGUAUUAUCUGACUGGAUACUUUAUUUAUGCAGUAAAAAGUAACUAAUACAGUCAAUGAGUGGAGUGGCUAACUUUUAUUUAUGUUUUAGGAGUGACCGAAAAAGGCCAAUGAUAGUAGCCACUGUUUUUCUCUCAAAAUCUUCUCUUACAUCUUCUCCCGGGUUUUAGGAUUGUAUCUUUACAUCUAAAUAAUUUUUAGAGUUUAAAUUAAAAUAAAAUUAUGGUUUUAGUGAUUUAACAUAGGCUUUUUUGGCCCAGGGUUGCCAUACUUCCUCAUAGAACCAUUAUCUGGUGCCUUCCAGUACAGCUUCAACGAGUACAUUAACUUGAUUUAUGGGAAGUAACUGGUCCUUUUGGUUUAGAGCUUCAGCCCCUUAUUGAUAUAUUUACUUUGUAGUGUUAUGGUUUUGUGCACAUUUUAAUUUGAGUGUAUUUCGCUUUGUUUGCAGUGUGGUUUAUUAUUAUUAUUAUUAUCAUUAUUUUCUUCUUUUUGGGUUUUCUUUUAUUUAUUUUGUGUGCUAAUUAAUUGGUGGCUUGAAGCCUGACUUAAUCGGCAAAUUUACUAAAUCCUUCAGUUUUACCAAGUGAAAGUGCAUAGACUAUUGAGAUCAGUGUUAUAGCCCAGAUUGAAGCCUGAUUUAAUAGACGAAUUUAUUAAAUCCUUAAGUGUUACCAAGUGAAAGUACUUAGAUAAUUGGGAUCAUUGUUAUAGGCCCAAAUUAUAAUGCUCGUGAAGUCUUAUAUUGGGUGAUUUUAUGGAAAACAGUGAUUUGUAUGAGUGUCCUGAAAAAAAAUGUCUAAUUGUUAAUCCCUUGCUGUGGUCAGUUUUGUAUAACCACUAGCAUUUUAAGAGAAGGUGAUUGGUCUGGUUUAAUGUAUCUGAUUUAAACAAAAUAAUAAAUGUGUUCUGUAAACCUCAGCCUCA